rnacentral:rRNA from 1 species
GCUCCUACCGAUUGAAUGAUCCGGUGAGGCCCCCGGACUGGGGCGACGCAUUCGGUUCGCCGGACGCGACGCUCCGGGAAGCUGUCCAAACCUUAUUAUUUAGAGGAAGGAGAAGUCGUAACAAGGUUUCCGUAG